GACUUGGGCUGGUUGCCUGUCUCGUCCAGGACGAUCCCUGGACAGGAUACUGGCUGGCUGGCACCCCAGGAACAAUAAGUGGCUGCAGGAAUCCCCGCAGUGCUCCCGUCCCCCAAAUCUCGGGCCAGUCCGGGACGGGGACCUGUGAGUUCACCACGAUCUGAGACUGCCACCGGUCACCUUCUGCGUGAGGAUCUACUCGUCUGCUCUUAACGCCAGGGUUCCGGGCUUAAAGAAGGGGAACAGACUUCUGUCUUCAUUGGACACAUAGGGACACUGAAGUCACAUAGUGCUGGAUCACCCUGAUCCGUGUCAUGGGGAACCCUACAACGAUCUACCCUGCCUCCAGAACAAAUGCCAUGCCCCAACAUCUGAAAGUAUACCGGCUGCUCAGGAAUGGUAUCAUUUCUGCUCCACGGACAACUCGGUCCUAUUCCCCUCUGCCUCCCCUCUGCCUCCCCUCUGCCUCCCCUCUGACCUGGUGACCACUUUGUCUUGUCCUGUCACUGUGACAGUGAGGAUGGCUGCGAUGGGGAUCAGCCUAGUCCUCGGGGAUAAAAGGCAAGAUCAUCUCCUUCUUGGAAGGAUUUCAGACCUUGGAGACUGGAAUCAAGGACAUGGUUCACAACUACACGCACCCUUCUAGAAUGCAGUGGCUUCGGUUUCUGACCAGGGACACAGAAUACCAUUAGAAUUUGAGAGGUAAGCAAGGUUAUUGGGCUUCCUGUCCAACCCAGGCACUGGGGUAAGGCAGGGCCUCAAGAUGCAGUGAGCAGAAUUGAAGCCCCUUUUCCCCAAGACAAGGUGCAUUGGCUUGAAAGUCCCUUUGGCCUCUGCAUGGAUGGUGCUAAGGGCAGAGAUACUGAACUGCUAUAUAACACCCCAGACCUCAUGCAGGUGAAUGGGUGGCAAAGAGAGUCCCUGAACAGUGUGUGGGGUAGGGUCCUCAGCUUAAGGCCUUGCUGUCUCUUCAGGCAUGCCUGGUGGCCUGCUUUAGCAGCUUGUGAUGGAGAUCUGCUCCAGCUAGAGCCCAGCUCUACAGCCAUAAAUGACACCCAGCCUGGGGUGAGCCUGUCAUCUCCUUUGAGAUUGCUGGAGGUCUCUGAGGCAGUGACUCCUAAUGGGCCCUCUCUUAACAACCCCUCAGGUCACUGCUUCUACCCAGCCUACCAGGACCUGGAAACCCAACCCACCGGUUUUCUUGUAUUUCCCACUGCCCCGGGCCUUGCAGGCCAGAGAGGAUAAUGGGGUUGGGAGUUAGGCAUUAGUUCCCCAAAGCCCUACAGGAUGACCACUGGUCCCCUCCCUCCCAGGGUAUCUUUUUUUUUUUUUAUUAAAAAUUUUCCCCUCCUCCCAUUCCCCCCCCCCUUUCUAGUCCUAAGAGAAGUCAGGGUGCCCUGCCCUGUGGUGUCUUUGUACAGAUUCUUUGCAGGAACCUCCAGCCAAGUCUACUGUGAGUCUCACUGAGCAUGUGGGGCUGGUGCUGAAGCAGGGAGCGUGUAGCUCUGCAAGUCCCUGUGCUGUGC